rnacentral:lncRNA from 1 species
GUAACAAGGGAGUCAGGAGGUUCACGGUAAAAGCUUCAGGCCCCAGCGGGGUUCCUGAUGUAGAUCUUCCUGCUCCAACUCUGCACCGCCCUCUCUCUCCUCCACCACCCAAGGGUCCGGCCUGCCCUGCACCGCCCUUCUCCAUCGUUUUGCAGAGGACGCCGCAUCUCCUCCCUCAGUUGUGCUUCUCAGCCGGCCUGCUCAUGGUGUUGAGAAAAUGCAGUUUUCAAGUUCUAACCAUGAAGACAAUCAUCAGAUUGCUCUGGAAUCCUCUGUGGACCUUCCAGCUGCUUAUAUGAGGGGAACUUAAGGACAGGGCAAUUUCCAAGGCAAAAAUGGACUGUCUCGCACACAGCAGACCCAAAGUAAAGACAGUGAUAAUUUGGUAUUUAUGCAGUAUUUUGAGAACGCGAAGGUUCAGAAUGCUAAAUUACCAGGCCAGAAUGAUCAAGCUACAAGAAAUUCAACCUGGGACAUUGGCUCUGCUCUGGUUGUCAUACUUGGGGCUCCUGUGAAAGGAGAAGCACUGGGCAGACUUUCUCGGGCCACGGUUGAAGUUCAGCCCAAGUCGGUGCCACUAAUGCCUCUCGAGAGCUAAGGUGCUGGUGCGGCUUUAGAGCUGGAUGCUGGUGACGAGUAGAGAAUGUGUCCCUGGAGCCUGAUGUGGGCGUUGGCCGUGAAUCAUAGUGGGGUGAGCAGAAGGAAUGCUCCAGGAACCUGUUGGCUGGAGUCAAUGUUUCGUCAGAUUGCCUUUUUCUUCAUAGCCAUCUAAUCAUACUGAAGACUAUCCUGAGAGAUGUUGAGGUGAAAAAUGGCGGAUGACAACUUUCAUUCUCUUCUGCUGUGUUUAUGAUGACUUUUUCAUAGCAAGAGCAAAGUCAGCUAAGGCAUUUUCAUGAGUAUAAGAUCAUUAUAGAAAUUUCGUUUGGUGAUGCUCCUAUAAUCGUAAUUUCUUUGAUCAUUUAAGCUAUUUUUUGACUUACCAACAUACAGUUGUUACUUAUUGGCCACAUAUUUUACCAUAUAGUUCUCUUUACAUGCUUUCUCUGUGCAAAAUAACAUUUGUUUCAGUGCCAAAUCAUGUUGCUGUAUGAUUUACAUACAAUGACAUGCACUUACAGCUUUAUUGAGAUGUAAUUCACAUGCCACACGAUUCGCUUAUUUACAGUGUAUAAUCAAUGGUUUUCAAUGUCCUAAUUUUCUUUUUCCCAGCACAGUGUUGAGUAUUUCCCUUUUCUCCUUUUUCACUAAAAUGGCUGUGGCAUUGGGGAGAACU